CUGGGGAGAUGCUGGGGCACAUUGCUCCAGGAGAUGAGUGCCUGCCCUCAAGCAACUCUUAGCACAGUGGGGGAGAUGUACAUUGUGACACAUAGAGUGUAGUGUGAUGAGCACAAAGAUGAGAUAUACGGAGGUCUUCCUGUUACCCUUAUGGGAAUGCCCUUCACUGAGGCAGAAGCGGAGGAUGAAUAUGAGCUCACUGGUGGACACUGGGUGGAACGGAGGACACCAGGAGCAAGUUAAUUCAUAGAAGAUUGGAAAGGCAGAGUGCCCCGAAGGAGUGUGCGUUUUUCCAUCCUUAGACAAGGUUACUUACUUGGGAGCACCCCUGGGAACAAGACCUAUAAAGGAACGAGGGAGCAAGACUGGCAGUGGGAGAAGCUGGACAGCAAAGCAGUUGCAGCACAGGCUGCAGUUAAUCCCACAGGGAGUUUCUGGAGCUGAGAUGGCUUUUCAGAGAGAUUCUGCACUGAGAGAAUAGGCCAUAUGAAGACAUGGAGAGAAAGCAGCCAUCUGCAAGACCUGCCUUGCAAGAAAUGUUACAAGAAGUUCUUCAGAGAGAAGGAAAAUUAUACACCGGUCAGCAAUUCAAAUCUAUAUAAAGGAAGAAAGAGCAUUAGAAGAGGAAUAUGGAAAGUUCUCUAGCAAUGAUCAAUAUGGAUUUUAAAAUCAAGAGAGGGCAUUAUUUUCAGAAAAGAACAGAAAAGACAAAGAACCCUGCCGGCCCCAGGAGAACAUGAGUAGGCUUUUCGGAAAGGCCCUGCCAUCCACCUGGCCCGACCCAAGCAGCUUUGUGCUCUUUUCUCUAGACUCCUUGCUCCCACAGCCAACUGGAUGUGUGGGCAGGAACAGAAUAAAAUGCUGAUCUUGAGGAAAUGCUGUGAGAUACUAUCGGGGAGAAAUUAAGAAGCAAUUUUGAAUGAAGACUGGAGGAUUUGUCAACAAACUGGAGGGAAUCCAGAGAAGAACCAAGGAUGACUGAAGACCUGGGGCUGAAGGCUGGACUUGCGAAUAGAGAUGAAAAGAAAAUGUGUUUAACUUGGCUAGACUCUAAGUUGGGACUUAAAAACAGCAUUGGAGCCCAAUCAAACCACCAUUAACAACUGCCAGGCAGAUCCCCAUCCGAAGUGACCCGGAAAGGUCAAAACAACCUCUUAAAAUUUCCAGUGUUUUUUAGUUCAACCUGAGGUUAGAGACCAUAUCUUCCCCACAGCACAGAUUGCUUUUGCAUGUAUGCCAAGAGCUUGUCUUCGAUGUGCAUUAAGGAUGCAAGUAUUGUGGAGAGGAAGUGGGUCUCUAGGGGGAGCUCAAAAGUGUCCCCAGGACAGAAGAUGCUGACAAGCCAGUAUGGGCUAGGGGUUUUUCCCAGGUUUGCAUGGCACAAUGC
rnacentral:lncRNA from 1 species